rnacentral:lncRNA from 1 species
AAAAAAACAACCUGAUUUACUUUUAAUAAAGUUAGCUCUAGGACCAGAGCAGCUGCAGUUUAGAUUGUAAUUUCUUUCUUGGGUAACUGGAGAUAGUUUACUGAAAGCAGACAAGGAAGCGUAAAAAGAAUCUGAACACCCUUUCUUUCCUCAACAGGUCCUGCUUUCUCAUCUACAACUGAAGGUUGCAUCUUUCCUUAAAAGCCAUUAACGGUCAUCUACUGUCCAUGGGGCGGAGGUGGAGCUGAUUCAUACAGAAUUUGAGAAUCUUGCCUUGCUUACCAUCUAAAGGUUUAUCUUAUACAUUUUUCACUUUUAUGCUGCAGUCCCCAUAGGACUAUCUGUCAUUCUAAGAACACUGUGCCAUUUCUUCAGCUCUUCCUUCUCCUUAUUAAAAGCUUAUUUAUUUUCCAUUUCAUGAUUCCUUUAGACAGAAUUACCUAUUUCCUGCUACCAACUCAGCACUAAUUCUUAAUGAUAUUAGUGGUUAGUUCAGAAUGAAUUGCCAACUCUCACUCAAAGGCCCUUUAAGUAAAACAUCUUACUCUAACUUCUGUGCCCAGCAUUUUUUGGGUACAUAGCUGGUACUUAAUCAAU